rnacentral:tRNA from 1 species
GGCUUUAUGGUGGAAAAAAAGACGUCAAAUUGCAAAUUUGAAGAUGUACAAGUUACUAAAGCUU